GAUUCAUGGUCUGGAAGCCAUACUAUUAAAAAGUUUUUACUAUUGUCUAGCAUCUUUGCCAGGACGGUAAAUCCUAGAUUUUGCAAGAGUGCUUCCUAAACAAUAAAUGUUUCUUUAUCCAAGGGGAUCAUACUUAUGCCAUGCUAAAUUGAGAGACAGAGAAGGAGGGAACAGAGAUGGACCAUUCCAUAGGGUCAGAUGUUUCAUAGAAGCCUAGAAACUCAGGAUUUGGGGAGCCAUGUUUUCAACCAUCCCCAUCCCAAAUACAAGUCCAUCUUUUUCUCCAGACAGAAAUUUAACACUGAGAAAACAGACCUAACAAAAACUUUAACACUAACAAAGAGAAAACAGACCUAAUAAAGAACUUAACCUUUUUUAGAGUUGCUUCAAAUUGAUAAUCAACUCUUUAGUUCUUUAGAACCUCAUUUUUUAAGUGAUGAAAGAGUCAUUAUAUGUUUGCAGGUAGACCUUCUGAAAUCACACUUUGCUUUGAAAUACACAUGUUUUUCUUAUCUUUUCCUAGACCUAUUAGUGCUUACUAAUUACUAUCAAAUUCCACUGUCCUUGCAGAUAUUUUUUCAGUCAUGCAUUUCCAUUGUGCCAGCUAGCAUACUCUCU
rnacentral:lncRNA from 1 species